rnacentral:rRNA from 1 species
AUGCAUAUUAUUAUGUACGUGUAUGCAUGCAUAUUCUUAUGUACAAGAUGUCUUAUUGUAGAUAAAUACUACCUUGUCGACUCCGGAUAUCCCAACAGAGUUGGAUAUCUAGCACCAUACAAAGGGCAACGGUAUCAUGUACCCGAUUUCCAACAACACCCUCCCAUGGGGAGGUAUGAGACAUUCAACCAUCGACAUUCUUCUUUGCGUAAUGUUGUCGAAAGAUCAUUUGGUGUUCUCAAGAUGAAAUGGCGUAUUCUCCAAGACAUACCACGCUACAAACCGGAGACCCAAAAGAUGAUCAUCACUGCAUGCAUGUGUCUUCACAACUACAUUCGUGAUAGCAAGUUACGUGAUGAGCAUUUUGACAAGUUUGACAAUGAUGCAUACGUGCAACCUCCACAGCUGUUUAGAGGUGCCAACGCUUUACCACCUGAUGAUGAUGGUACCAUGGCCGCUACACGUGAGGCUAUUGCCGUCAGCCUUGUACCUUGA